rnacentral:rRNA from 1 species
UGGGGAAUCUUGCGCAAUGGGCGAAAGCCUGACGCAGCAACGCCGUGUGGGGGAUGAAGGCCUUCGGGUUGUAAACCCCUGUCGAAGGAGAAGAAUUGUUUCAAGGUGAAUAAUCUUGGAAUUUGACGGUACCCUUAAAGGAAGCACCGGCUAACCUCGUGCCAGCAGCCGCGGUAAUACGAGGGGUGCAAGCGUUGUUCGGAAUUACUGGGCGUAAAGCGCGUGUAGGUGGUUAAAUGUGUCGAAUGUGAAAUCCCUGGGCUUAACCUAGGAAGUGCGUUCGAAACUGUUUAACUCGAGUGCGGGAGAGGAGGGCGGAAUUCCCAGUGUAGAGGUGAAAUUCGUAGAUAUUGGGAGGAACACCGGAGGCGAAAGCGGCUCUCUAGACCGUAACUGACAC